rnacentral:sRNA from 1 species
ACUAGAGAUGCCGCGGCCCCAGCUGCACACAAAAGGACCCUGGUGUGGGGGACCCUUACAAAAGAGGACGGAAACAACAUAGUUUUAAACCAAUAAACCUUGACAGCGGGGAUUUUCAGUUUGAUUGACACCCUAUGGCCCCCAGCGAUACCUCUGAAAACACCUGGCCGCGACCAGCCCUGUGAAGAGAUAAAAACUCAUCUGCCUCCUCCAGCCUUGUGUUACAUCCUCACAGCUCAUCCAAAUCUGGGACAAAUUGAUAUAAUUGACGAAGACCCCAUUUAUAAGCUUUACCAGCCUCCAGUUACCCGCUGCUUAAGAGACAUUCUCCAGAUGAAUGAUCUUGGUACCCGUUGCAGCUUCUAUGCCACAGUGAUUUACCAAAAACCACAGCUGAAGAGUCUGCUUCUUCUGGAGCAAAGGGAGAUCUGGCUGCUAGUGACCGAUGUCACUCUGCAAACGAAGGAGGAGAGAGACCCCAGGCUCCCCAAAACCCUGCUGGUCUAUGUGGCCCCCUUGUGUGUGCUGGGCUCUGAAGUCCUGGAGGCACUCGCUGGGGCUGCCCCUCACAGCCUCUUCUUCAAGGACGCUCUCCGUGACCAGGGUCGGAUUGUUUGUGCUGAACGAACUGUCCUCUUGCUUCAGAAGCCCCUUUUGAGUGUGGUCUCUGGUGCAAGUUCCUGUGAGCUGCCUGGCCCGGUGAUGCUCGACAGCCUGGACUCUGCCACACCUGUCAACUCCAUCUGCAGUGUUCAAGGUA